rnacentral:rRNA from 1 species
CCUACGGGGGGCAGCAGUGAGGAAUAUUGGUCAAUGGACGAGAGUCUGAACCAGCCAAGUAGCGUGAAGGAUGACUGCCCUAUGGGUUGUAAACUUCUUUUAUAUGGGAAUAAAACGUUCCACGUGUGGGAUUUUGUAUGUACCAUAUGAAUAAGGAUCGGCUAACUCCGUGCCAGCAGCCGCGGUAAUACGGAGGAUCCGAGCGUUAUCCGGAUUUAUUGGGUUUAAAGGGAGCGUAGGUGGAUUGUUAAGUCAGUUGUGAAAGUUUGCGGCCCAACCGUAAAAUUGCAGUUGAAACUGGCAGUCUUGAGUACAGUAGAGGUGGGCGGAAUUCGUGGUGUAGCGGUGAAAUGCUUAGAUAUCACGAAGAACUCCGAUUGCGAAGGCAGUUCACUGGACUGCAACUGACACUGAGGCUCGAAAGUGUGGGUAUCAAACAGGAUUAGAUACCCUAGUAGUC